rnacentral:rRNA from 1 species
GACGAACGCUGGCGGCGUGCCUAAUACAUGCAAGUAGAACGCACAGUUUAUACCGUAGCUUGCUACACCAUAGACUGUGAGUUGCGAAUGGGUGAGUAACGCGUAGGUAACCUGCCUGGUAGCGGGGGAUAACUAUUGGAAACGAUAGCUAAUACCGCAUAAUAUUAAUUAUUGCAUGAUAAUUAAUUGAAAGGUGCAAUUGCACCACUACCAGAUGGACCUGCGUUGUAUUAGCUAGUAGGUGAGGUAACGGCUCACCUAGGCGACGAUACAUAGCCGACCUGAGAGGGUGAUCGGCCACACUGGGACUGAGACACGGCCCAGACUCCUACGGGAGGCAGCAGUAGGGAAUCUUCGGCAAUGGACGAAAGUCUGACCGAGCAACGCCGCGUGAGUGAAGAAGGUUUUCGGAUCGUAAAGCUCUGUUGUAAGAGAAGAACGGGUGUGAGAGUGGAAAGUUCACACUGUGACGGUAUCUUACCAGAAAGGGACGGCUAACUACGUG